GGGGUUGUAGCCCAAUGGUAGGGCGCUCACCUAUCACAUGCGAGGCCCUGGGUUCAAUCCUCAGCACCACA
rnacentral:tRNA from 1 species